UUUCACUUGGGAUGUUUUCAAGGUUCAUCCGUGUUAUAGAACAACUUUGUUUUAGCAAGAAAAACAAUUACCAUGCAGAUUCUGUAGAAUGAUCGAAUCGUCGCCAUUUCUAUUGCACAACAUCAGACCGAUUCGGACUUAGCUGCCCCUAACUAAUAUGCUUCAAGAGGUGCUAGUAUUUAUAAUGAAUUUUAUGGAAUCAAACACUCUCGCCUUUGUUCAUUUUGCUGAAAGAAAAAAAAUCACGUUGCAAGAUCGUGUUGUUGUACAAAUAGUAUUUCUAAAAUGUACUCUUAGUCAAUGCCAAAGCUCUUCCUAAAUUGCUAAAUACGGCUUGAAAAUCAGAUCAUGUAUUUUUGUAUGAUAUCAUUACUAAAUCGACAGAUUCAGUUAGAAGCAGAGCGUGGCAUAUCUUGCUUUUCGAGACCAGUUAAAACUGUAAAGCGUCACAGCUGAUCUGAGGCGCUUCCACUGGGAAACACUGACCUCCGCGUUGUCCUGGGGCGUCAGGAUUCGACUCAAGGCUGGAGGAAAAUUCUCAAGGCACAGCUGUCUGGGCGGGGAGAAGAGUCGAGUGACAGUGGCCCACCAGGCAGUGUCUUCACCUUGGGGGUGGUUUCCCGCGUGCGCACGUAUGUAAAACUCAAAAGCGUGUGCUCUUUAAAUGUGUGCACCUUACGGUGUAUUCACUGUGCCUCAGCGACGCUGCAAAAAAUAGUCUAGUCGGCUAUCUAUUAGAUGUCAGGCCUCGGGUCAGAGUGGUUUCCUGUGUGGGUUUCACUUCUUUAAGUGGUUAGACUUUGGCAAAAAUCUGGCUGUUUUUUCUUCCUGAUCCUUUUUAAAGACCAUUUAAUUUUGGCAGUUUGGCUCCCUUUUUAUCUUAAUGGGCACCUAUACCACAGACAUUUUAGAAGUAAAUUGUAAUCCACAUUGUAAAUAAACCAUACAUUUCAACCCUGCAAAAUCUUUUUCUGUGUCUAUGAAUGAAUUAUAAUCUUUAAAUGUAAUUUUUUAAAAAGUGCGUCCUGGUAAGAAAUGCCUGCAGAAAUGUACACAUAAUGACUUAGAAAUCAGAUUCAUUUUUUAACUUGGAUACCAAUUGAUGUAGAAAUAUUAAUAGUAGUGGCUUUACAGGAAAACUUUGGGCGAUGUUUCCAGAUUCAGGCGCCACGCCCCGCAGCGUUCAGUGGCCUGGUCUGAAGGAAUUAGGGGACGAAGGGUCCCUGCUCUGCCUGGCGAUCCACAGCGGGGACGAACACAGUAGGGAGGGGCCCUGUCCCUGCCUCGACUCUCAUCUCCCGCUGCUCUGCUUUCUGUGUCCCGCGUUCUCCUUGUGCAGAAGGCGGAAUGGGCGGUGCUGGGCCGUGAGGCCUGUUUAAAGGAUGGAUAGUAAUGGCUCUGUCAUGGAAAAACGUGUACUUUCUAGGCGCUAGCGCGGUCAAGGCGGCGCGUUUGCGGUGGCGGGGCCGUUUGUGGGCUGACGCCACCCUCUCCCGCAGAAGGAUGCUGUGCAGCUGUCUGCCAGGCAGGAGCUCCGGGCCAGGCCCACUCGCGCUGGAUCCUGGUGAAGCCCUUCGGCUUUGAGCAGGAAAGAGACCAGGAAUAGUUAUGAGAAGAGAUUGCCAGUGGACUCUCCCUGAGCGGCGCAGGCAGGGUCCUCUGGCUUUGGAACCCAGGACCAAGCCUGGCUCGUGCUCACUGGUCCCUUCUGCCGAGAGCGGCGCAGAUACUGCGGCGGUGUCCUCUGUUUCUAGACGGGUCGGCCAGCUUCUGACUUCUACGACUUGAUCCUUGCCGGCGGGGCCUCGGCCAACAUUGGGUAUUGCUCAUGUGGGACAUGACGACCCCUCUAAGAGUUUACAGUGUUUAAAAGUUCUUACUGAGCUUCUUGUAUAAAUUUCAUGGGGAAAUCAUGAAAUAUUAAACCACCUGAAAUAGUA